CUGGCGGCGCGCUUACACAUGCAAGUCGAGCGAGAAAGGGGCAACCUGAGUAAAGCGGCGUACGGGUGAGUAACACGUGGGUAAUCUACCUUUUAGUGGGGAAUAACCCUGGGAAACCGGGGCUAAUACCGCAUAAUCCUGUGAGGGGAAAGCAGCAAUGCGCUGAAAGAGGAGCCCGCGGCCGAUUAGCUAGUUGGUGAGGUAACGGCUCACCAAGGCGGUGAUCGGUAGCCGGCCUGAGAGGGCACACGGCCACACUGGCACUGAAACACGGGCCAGACUCCUACGGGAGGCAGCAGUGGGGAAUCUUGCACAAUGGAGGAAACUCUGAUGCAGCGACGCCGCGUGAGCGAUGAAGCCCUUCGGGGUGUAAAGCUCUUUCGGCAGGGACGAUAAUGACGGUACCUGAAGAAGAAGCUGCGGCUAACUACGUGCCAGCAGCCGCGGUAAUACGUAGGCAGCGAGCGUUGUUCGGAAUUACUGGGCGUAAAGAGUGUGUAGGCGGUGCUCUAAGUUCGGUGUGAAAUCUCCCGGCUCAACUGGGAGGGUGCGCCGGAAACUGGAGUGCUCGAUCGUGGGAGAGGAAAGCGGAAUUCCUGGUGUACCGGUGAAAUGC
rnacentral:rRNA from 1 species